ACAUCGAUGUGUGGGAGUGUUGCCACCAGAUCUCCUAAGAACUCCAUAGUUAAGCAUUCUUGCGCUGAAGUAGUAGCAUGGCAGAUUCUACCACCUUUGACC